AAGUCGUAACAAGGUUUCCGUAGGUGAACCUGCGGAAGGAUCAUUACCUAUCAUCCAGUGUGGUCGCGGCCUCCGGGUUCUUCCCGGGCGGUAGAGGUAACACUCUCACGCGCCACGCGUUUGAAUCCUUUUUUUUACGAGCACCUUUCGUUCUCCUUCGGUGGGGCAACCUGCCGUUGGAAUCAUAAAAACCUUUUUUUGCAUCUAGCAUUACCUGUUCCGAUAACAAACAAUCGUUACAACUUUCAACAAUGGAUCUCUUGGCUCUG
rnacentral:misc_RNA from 1 species